rnacentral:rRNA from 1 species
GAGCACGUAGGUGGGUUUGUAAGUCAGAUGUGAAAGCCUUCUGUUCAACGGAAGAAUUGCAUCUGAAACUGCGAGUCUUGAGUGUAGGAGGGGAGAAUGGAACUUCUGGUGGAGCGGUGAAAUGCGUAGAUAUCAGAAGGAACGCCGGCGGCGAAAGCGGCUCUCUGGUCUAUAACUGACACUGAGUGUGCGAAAGCUAGGGGAGCAAACGGGAUUAGAUACCCCGGUAGUCCUAGCCGUAAACGAUGGGCACUAAGUAGAGGGGUUUUA